GACGAACGCUGGCGGCGUGCUUAACACAUGCAAGUCGAACGGAAAGGCCCUGCUUUUGUGGGGUGCUCGAGUGGCGAACGGGUGAGUAACACGUGAGUAACCUGCCCUUGACUUUGGGAUAACUUCAGGAAACUGGGGCUAAUACCGGAUAGGAGCUCCUGCUGCAUGGUGGGGGUUGGAAAGUUUCGGCGGUUGGGGAUGGACUCGCGGCUUAUCAGCUUGUUGGUGGGGGAGGGGUUUACCAAGGCUUUGACGGGUAGCCGGCCUGAGAGGGUGACCGGCCACCAUGGGCCUGCGAUACGGCCCAGACUCCUACGGGAGGCAGCAGUGGGGAAUCUUGCCCAAUGGGCGGACGCCUGAUGCAGCAACGCCGCGGGCGGGAUGACGGCCUGCGGGUUGUGAACCGCUUUCGCCUAUGACGAAGCGUGAGUGACGGUAAUGAGUAAAGAAGCACCGGCUAACUACGUG
rnacentral:rRNA from 1 species